AAUAAUCAUAUAAUCAUAACAUGUUAUUCGCCUCUCCCCCACCGACGACACAAUAAACAAAUUCAAAUUUACAAUUAUAAAUAAAUUUAUAUACCUACCUAUAUAGGGUGUGGUUCUAGAGAGAACUACAUUAUUUGUGAGAACGGGAGAACCAUCAAAUCUAAUGCAUCCACUGUAAAAAUUAAUGCAUUCGCUGUUAAAAUUAAUGCACUAAAAAAAUUAAAUAAAAAAAAAU
rnacentral:lncRNA from 1 species